CAUCGGCCAGCUCGACCAGUAAGUCCACCGCUGAGGAGACUAAAGAAACUACAGAGAAAGACAAAGAUGAAACAGAAGGCAUAUCAAGCUGCGACUGACAUCCAUCUUUCUUCUUAACCCAAACUCCUCAAAGUAAGAUAUCUGUAAUUCUGCCAGUUACACUUUUAUGAUAUCUCAUUACCCAAAUAUGGACCAAUACAAUUAUCUGUAUGACAUUUUGGGUCACUUUCUUUAUUCUAUCAAAUGGAAGUUAACUAUUCUAAUGAUUAAGCCAUAAACAAGUUGAACAAAUGAUGACUAUCCCAUUGGGCAGCACUAUGAUACAAUCACCUCUAUUCUCUGUCUGUCUAUGGCUAUUUGACAUGACCAGAUGUUAUGUAUAGCUAGUGAGAUGGUCUCUCUCUCUCUCUCUCUCUGUCUCUCUCUCUCUCUCUCUCUCUCUCUCUCUCCUCUCUCUUUCCCCCUUCUCUCUCUUCUCUCCUCUUCUCUCUUCUCUCUUAUCUCUCUCCUCAGAGAAACCAACCAGCCACACACCCCGCUCCACACUGUGAUGUAACCUACCAGCCACACUCCCCCGCUCUGUUCUGUGAUGUAACCUACCAGCCACACACCCGCUCCGCUCUGUGAUGUAGACCUACCAGCCACACACCCGCUCCGCUCUGUGAUGUAGACCUACCAGCCACACACCCCGCUCCGCUCUGUGAUGUAGACCUACCAGCCACACACCCCGCUCCGAUCUAUGAUGUAGACCUACCAGCACACACCCCGCUCCGAUCUAUGAUGUAGACCUACAGCCAACACACCCACUCCGAUCUAUGAUGUAGACCUACCAGCCACCACACCCGCCUCCGAUCUAUGAUGUAGACUUACCAGCCACACACCCGCUCCGAUCUAUGAUGUAGACCUACCAGCCACACACCCCGCUCCGCUCUGUGAUGUAACCUACCACCACACACCCCGCUCCGAUCUAUGAUGGUAAACCUACCAGCCACACACCCCACCUCCAAGCUAUGAUAUAGACCUAUACCAGCCACACACCCCACUCCACACUGUGAUGUAACCUACCAGCCACACACCCCGCUCCGCUCUAUGAUAUAGACCCUACCAGCCACACACCCCACUCCACACUGUGAUGUAACCUACCAAGCCACACACCCCGCUCCACACUGUGAUGUAACCUACCAGCCACACACCCCGCUCCGAUCUAUGGAUGUAGACCUACCAGCCAACACACCCGCUCCGAUCUAUGAUGUAGACCUACCAGCCACACACCCCGCUCCGAUCUAUGAUGUAGACCUACCAGCCACACACCCCGCUCCGAUCUAUGAUGUAGACCUACCAUCCACACCCCGCUCCGAUCUAUGAUGUAGACCAACCAGCCACACACCCCGCUCCGAUCUAUGAUGUAGACCUACCAGCCACACCCCCCGCUCCGCUCUGUCAUGUAGACCUACCAGCCACACACCCCGCUCCGAUGUAUGAUGUAGACCUACCAGCCCACAUCCCGCUUCGAUCUAUGAUGUAGACCUACCAGCCACACAACCCGCUCCGAUCUAUGAUGUAGACCUACCAGCCACACACCCCGCUCCGAUCUAUGAUGUAGACCUACCAGCCACACACCCCGCUUCGAUCUAUGAUGUAGACCUACCAGCCACACACCCCCGCUCCGAUCUGUGAUGUAGACCUACCAGCCACACACCUCCGCUCCGCUCUGUGAUGUAGACCUACCAGCCACACACACCCCGCUUCGAUCUAUGAUGUAGACCUACCAGCCACACAACCCACAAACCCGCUCCGAUCUAUGAUGUAGACCUACCAGCCACACACCCCGCCUCCCGAUCUAUGAUGUAAGACCUACCAGCCACACACCCCGCUCCGAUCUAUGAGUAGACCUACCAGCCACACACCCCGCUCCGAUCUAUGAUGUAGACCUACCAGCCACACACCCGCUCCGAUCUAUGAUGUAGACCUACCAGCCACACCCCCCGCUCCGCUCUGUGAGUAACCUACCAGCCACAACACACCCCGCCUCCGAUCUAUUAUGUAGACUUCCAGCCACACUCCCCUCUGUGAUGUAGACUUUCCAGCCACACUCCCCCUCUGUGAUGUAGACUUCCAGCCACACACCCCGCUCCGCUCUGUGAUGUAGACUUCCAGCCACAUCCCCCUCUGUGAUGUAGGACUUCCAGCCACAGGUUCCUUAAUCGUCUACUGUGCUGGUCCAGAACACU
ensembl:lncRNA